CACCUGCUUGCCGCACAUCUCCCCCAGUCAUUAUCAUUAGGCAUACUGUAAAAGGGUGACUAUUGUUCUUGCGCAGCAGGCUUGUCUAAACGCACGCGGCUCCCAGGCGCCAGGGUCGUCUGAAACUCUUUUCACGGUACUUAUAGUUUCAAAACUCGGAAUUUUGGCGCUAUUUAGCAUUCUAUUCAGGUGUAAAUAACGGGUGUUGAAGGCGUUUUUUUGAAAUGCAGACGUGUAAAAUUUGCAUCUCAUUCAGGAGCAUCAGUUUCGUUCAUGUUGAGAUACGCCACCCACAACAGUCGAGAUUUUCUAGCCAUUUUUUUGUUCCCUCCACCAGAAUCAUUAAACGGGCUACGCGCCUUUGGCUGCGUGCGGAGCUUCCAUGGAAAACCCAAUCUGGAUGCAGAGCGCAGGAGCAGCAUGGGACUUCCAGCCAGAGCGGGAGGCAGAGCGAGUUUGAGACGUUUCCUCCCUGGACCACUCAGGAAGCACGUUGGGCUCCUUUUCCUGCUCACACGCGGCCAGAUUCAAACAGAAUCAAAGAAUGAUAGCAUUGAGUCUCACCAUCUCCUGUUAGGAAAAGAA